rnacentral:rRNA from 1 species
GACGAACGCUGGCGGCGUGCUUAACACAUGCAAGUCGAACGGAAAGGCCCUGCUUGCCGGGUACUCGAGUGGCGAACGGGUGAGUAACACGUGGGUGAUCUGCCCUGCACUUCGGGAUAAGCCUGGGAAACUGGGUCUAAUACCGGAUAGGAGCCAUUUUUAGUGUGAUGGUUGGAAAGUUUUUUCGGUGUAGGAUGAGCUCGCGGCCUAUCAGCUUGUUGGUGGGGUAAUGGCCUACCAAGGCGGCGACGGGUAGCCGGCCUGAGAGGGUGGACGGCCACAUUGGGACUGAGAUACGGCCCAGACUCCUACGGGAGGCAGCAGUGGGGAAUAUUGCACAAUGGGCGCAAGCCUGAUGCAGCGACGCCGCGUGGGGGAUGACGGCCUUCGGGUUGUAAACUCCUUUCGCUAGGGACGAAGCUUUUUGCGACGGUACCUAGAUAAGAAGCACCGGCUAACUACGUG